rnacentral:misc_RNA from 1 species
GAUGAAGAACGUAGCGAAAUGCGAUAAGUAAUGUGAAUUGCAGAAUUCAGAGAAUCAUCGAAUCUUUGAACGCACAUUGCGCCCGCCAGUAUUCUGGCGGGCAUGCCUGUCCGAGCGUCAUUUCAACCCUCAAGCCCCCGGGCUUGGUGUUGGAGAUCGGCGAGCCCCCCGGGGCGCGCCGUCUCCCAAAUAUAGUGGCGGUCCCGCUGUAGCUUCCUCUGCGUAGUAGCACACCUCGCACUGGGAAACAGCGUGGCCACGCCGUAAAACCCCCCCCUUCUGAAAGGUUGACCUCGGAUCAGGUAGGAAUACCCGCUGAACUUAAGCAUAUCAAUAAGCGGAGGA